GGCGGACGGGUGAGUAACGCGUGGGAAUCUGCCCUUGAGUGGGGGACAACGUUCGGAAACGAACGCUAAUACCGCAUAAUGUCUACGGACCAAAGUUGCCUUCGGGUGACGCUUGAGGAUGAGCCCGCGUUGGAUUAGCUAGUAGGUGAGGUAAAGGCUCACCUAGGCGACGAUCCAUAGCUGGUCUGAGAGGAUGAUCAGCCACACUGGGACUGAGACACGGCCCAG
rnacentral:rRNA from 1 species